rnacentral:rRNA from 1 species
AGAGUUUGAUCAUGGCUCAGAUUGAACGCUGGCGGCAGGCCUAACACAUGCAAGUCGAGCGGUAGAGAGGUGCUUGCACCUCUUGAGAGCGGCGGACGGGUGAGUAAUACCUAGGAAUCUGCCUGGUAGUGGGGGAUAACGUUCGGAAACGGACGCUAAUACCGCAUACGUCCUACGGGAGAAAGCAGGGGACCUUCGGGCCUUGCGCUAUCAGAUGAGCCUAGGUCGGAUUAGCUAGUUGGUGAGGUAAUGGGCUCACCAAGGGCUACGAUCCGUAACUGGUCUGAGAGGAUGAUCAGUCACACUGGAACUGAGACACGGUCCAGACUCCUACGGGAGGCAGCAGUGGGGAAUAUUGGACAAUGGGCGAAAGCCUGAUCCAGCCAUGCCGCGUGUGUGAAGAAGGUCUUCGGAUUGUAAAGCACUUUAAGUUGGGAGGAAGGGCAUUAACCUAAUACGUUAGUGUUUUGACGUUACCGACAGAAUAAGCACCGGCUAACUCUGUGCCAGCAGCCGCGGUAAUACAGAGGGUGCAAGCGUUAAUCGGAAUUACUGGGCGUAAAGCGCGCGUAGGUGGUUUGUUAAGUUGAAUGUGAAAUCCCCGGGCUCAACCUGGGAACUGCAUCCAAAACUGGCAAGCUAGAGUAUGGUAGAGGGGUAAAGUGGAAAUUUUCUGUGUGUAGGCGGUUGAAAUGCGUAGAAAUAUAGGAAGGAACACCAGGUGGCGAAAGCGACUAUCCUGGACUGAUACUGAACACUGAUGUGCGAAAGCGUGGGGAGCAAACAGGAUUAGAUAACCCUGGUAGUCCACGCGGUAAACGA